CGUUAGGUUUCCUAUUUGGACAAUGAUUGAAACUUCAAAAUUGAUUUGAACUAGUGUCCUAAUUAAAUUAGAUCAUGGGGUGCCACUAUUGAGUUUCGAUCACACAAUGGAAUAUGAAUUUUUAAAAAAUUUUAACAUGCAUAUAAAAAAUUUUAAUAAUUAAAACUAGUCAAUCGAAACUCAAAUCCUAAAAUCACCAUGUAGAUGUCGAACA
rnacentral:lncRNA from 1 species